ensembl:lncRNA
GCAGCUCACAGAAGGCAGCCCAGUAUUUGUGCUGUUCUAAAGGCAUUGGGAACCAGCCAGCAGCUGAGCAGCAGCUAUUUGCAGAACUUGAAGAUCUGCUCUUCCUUCUGCUUCUCUGCAAUUUGUCUCCAUUCCUAGACACCUGGCUCACACCCCCCAUACUCUGAUGAGCCACUCUUGGGCUACCGUUUCUUACAGCUGGCUGCUUUCAGCUGUUUCAAAUCUGGGCUGGAAUCACCUGGCUUUAAUUUAAGUAGCAAACAAAGGCAGCCUUCCCUAUGGGUGUGCUUUAGUUUCAUUGGGGUUGAGUUCCACAAAGAAGAAGUGCGCUGAGUGUGAUGCUUUAACAAAAGCAGCAUACGUCCUAACAAGAAAUAAGGAACAGCUUGCUGGGAAACCAUGGCUCCUCUCCUGUCCUCGCUAUUGAAUUGCCUCUCUGCUACUAAAUGAUGUCACGAAGUCCCUAUGCUGAACAUAGAUUAAAAAC